UACGGUUACAGAACCCACAAAACAUCGCAUCCCGUCAGAUCUGCGCAAUUAAUUGGGAUAUCGCUCGAUCAGUAUCAAAGUGGAGGACCAUUUGGGAAUCUCGAGUACUGUAGUU